rnacentral:rRNA from 1 species
GAUUCUGGCUCAGGAUGAACGCUGGCGGCGUGCUUAACACAUGCAAGUCGAACGGAGCUUAGAAGGAAGCUUGCUUCAUUUAAGCUUAGUGGCGGACGGGUGAGUAACGCGUGAGCAACCUGCCCUCGAGUGGGGAAUAACAUCGAGAAAUCGGUGCUAAUACCGCAUAAUGUCGAGAGACCGCAUGAUCUUUCGACCAAAGGAUUUAUUCGCUUGAGGAUGGGCUCGCGUCCGAUUAGCUAGUUGGUGAGGUAACGGCCCACCAAGGCUUCGAUCGGUAGCCGAACUGAGAGGUUGAUCGGCCACAUUGGGACUGAGACACGGCCCAGACUCCUACGGGAGGCAGCAGUGGGGAAUAUUGGGCAAUGGGCGAAAAAGCCUGACCCAGCAACGCCGCGUGAAGGAUGAAGGUCUUCGGAUUGUAAACUUCUUUGAUUGGGGAAGAAUAAAAUCGACCUACCCAAAGAACAAGCCACGGCUAACUACGUGCCAGCCGCCGC